UGCGUAGGCGGUUCGUUGUGUCCGCUGUGAAAGCCCCGGGCUUAACCUGGGAAUUGCAGUGGAAACUAGCGGACUCAGAAUCUGGCAGAGGGGGGUGGAAUGCCACGUGUAGCAGUGAAAUGCGUAGAGAUGUGGCGGAACACCGAUGGCGAAGGCAGCCCCCUGGGCUGAGAUUGACGCUCAGGCACGAAAGCGUGGGGAGCAAACAGGAUUAGAUACCCUGGUAGUCCACGCCCUAAACGAUGAUCACUAGGUGUUGGGGAAGCGAUUUCCUAGUACCGCAGCUAACGCGUGAAGUGAUCCGCCUGGGGAGUACGGUCGCAAGAUUAAAA
rnacentral:rRNA from 1 species